rnacentral:rRNA from 1 species
UACAGAGGUCCCAAGCGUUGUUCGGAUUCACUGGGCGUAAAGGGUGCGUAGGCGGUCGGGCAAGUCGGAUGUGAAAUCUCACAGCUUAACUGUGAAACUGCAUUGGAUACUAUCCGGCUCGAGGAAUGGAGGGGAGACUGGAAUACUUGGUGUAGCAGUGAAAUGCGUAGAUAUCAAGUGGAACACCAGUGGCGAAGGCGAGUCUCUGGACAUUUCCUGACGCUGAGGCACGAAAGCCAGGGGAGCAAACGGG